rnacentral:rRNA from 1 species
UAAUUCCGUUAACGAACGAGACCACAGCCUACUAAAUAGUGUGCGGUAUGGCAACAUAGCGUGGCGACUUCUUAGAGGGACAUUUCGAGUUUAUCGGAAGGAAGUUUGUGGCAAUAACAGGUCUGUGAUGCCCUUAGAUGUUCUGGGCCGCACGCGCGCUACACUGACUGAUUCAACGAGUUUUUGUUUCGUCUCUCUUUUGGGGCGGGCAGAGUCCUUGGCCGGAAGGUCUGGGUAAUCUUGUAAAUGUCAGUCGUGAUGGGGCUAGAUUUUUGCAAUUAUUAAUCUCCAACGAGGAACC